rnacentral:tRNA from 1 species
GCCUGGUUAGCUUAGGUAGUAGCGCCUUGUAAGCGCUAGGCCGCGGGUUCGAUUCCCGCCCGGGACA